rnacentral:rRNA from 1 species
UGCGUAGGUGGUGAUAUAAGUUAUCUGUGAAAUCCCUGGGCUUAACCUGGGCAGGUCAGAUAAGACUGUAUAACUAGAGUAUGGGAGAGGGUAGUGGAAUUUCCGGUGUAGCGGUGAAAUGCGUAGAGAUCGGAAGGAACACCAGUGGCGAAGGCGGCUACCUGGCCUAAUACUGACACUGAGGCACGAAAGCGUGGGGAGCAAACA